CCUACGGGAGGCUGCAGUGGGGAAUAUUGGACAAUGGGGGGAACCCUGAUCCAGCCAUGCCGCGUGUGUGAAGAAGGCCCUCGGGUUGUAAAGCACUUUCAGUGAGGAAGAACGCCUGGUGGUUAAUACCCAUCAGGAAAGACAUCACUCACAGAAGAAGCACCGGCUAACUCCGUGCCAGCAGCCGCGGUAAUACGGAGGGUGCGAGCGUUAAUCGGAAUUACUGGGCGUAAAGCGCGCGUAGGUGGCUUGAUAAGCCGGUUGUGAAAGCCCCGGGCUCAACCUGGGAACGGCAUCCGGAACUGUCAAGCUAGAGUGCAGGAGAGGAAGGUAGAAUUCCCGGUGUAGCGUUGAAAUGCGUAGAGAUCGGGAGGAAUACCAGUGGCGAAGGCGGCCUUCUGGACUGACACUGACACUGAGGUGCGAAGGCGUGGGUAGCAAACAGGAUUAGAUACCCCAGUAGUC
rnacentral:rRNA from 1 species